rnacentral:rRNA from 1 species
GACGAACGCUGGCGGCGUGCCUAAUACAUGCAAGUAGAACGCUGAAGCGAGGAGCUUCCUCUUCUUGGAUGAGUUGCGAACGGGUGAGUAACGCGUAGGUAACCUGCCUUGUAGCGGGGGAUAACUAUUGGAAACGAUAGCUAAUACCGCAUAACAAUGUAUGACACAUGUCAUUUAUUUGAAAGGGGCAAUUGCUCCACUACAAGAUGGACCUGCGUUGUAUUAGCUAGUAGGUGAGGUAAUGGCUCACCUAGGCGACGAUACAUAGCCGACCUGAGAGGGUGAUCGGCCACACUGGGACUGGGACACGGCCCAGACUCCUACGGGAGGCAGCAGUAGGGAAUCUUCGGCAAUGGGGGCAACCCUGACCGAGCAACGCCGCGUGAGUGAAGAAGGUUUUCGGAUCGUAAAGCUCUGUUGUAAGUCAAGAACGGGUGUGAGAGUGGAAAGUUCACACUGUGACGGUAGCUUACCAGAAAGGGACGGCUAACUACGUG